GACGAACGCUGGCGGCGUGCUUAACACAUGCAAGUCGAACGAUGAACCCGGAGCUUGCUCCGGUGGAUUAGUGGCGAACGGGUGAGUAACACGUGAGUAACCUGCCCUUGACUCUGGGAUAACUGCGGGAAACUGUAGCUAAUACCGGAUACGACCCUCGGCGGCAUCGCCAGGGGGUGGAAAGCAUUUCGGUCAAGGAUGGACUCGGGGCCUAUCAGCUAGUUGGUGAGGUAACGGCUCACCAAGGCGACGACGGGUAGCCGGCCUGAGAGGGUGACCGGCCACACUGGGACUGAGACACGGCCCAGACUCCUACGGGAGGCAGCGGUGGGGAAUAUUGCACAAUGGGCGCAAGCCUGAUGCAGCAACGCCGCGUGAGGGAUGACGGCCUUCGGGUUGUAAACCUCUUUUAGUAGGGAAGAAGCGAAAGUGACGGUACCUGCGGAAAAAGCACCGGCUAACUACGUGCCAGCCGCCGCCGUAA
rnacentral:rRNA from 1 species